AGCCCCGCAGUAGAUAAAUACGUUGGAUUGCAAAUCCAAAAACCGGAGGUUGACUCCUCCCGGGGCUU
rnacentral:tRNA from 1 species